GGGCGAGUGGUGGAAUGGCAUACACGUACGACUCAAAAUCGUAUGAGCGCAAGCUCUUGAGGGUUCAAGUCCCUCCUCGCCCA
rnacentral:tRNA from 2 species